GGCGCGACAUUUGCGACGUUUGAAUUUUGCACUAUUUCCCGCGCGCUCCGUACGUGACCGGCCGGCGCACUGCGUUACCGCGAUAAAGAAAAUAGUUCCUCAAGGAAGCUAAGCAGAAAACUUUCACACUCUUGCAAACCACAGAAAUUGUUAAGAAAUACCAUUAUAUUACAAGAUUUGUUAAUAAAUAUGGCAAUUCACAUCUAUGAAAGCGUGGAUUUGUAUGCGCGCUUUUGUGUGAAUGCGCGCUUGCGCUGUUGACUCUUUGGCGGAUUCCGGAACUUUGUGCGUGCGGCGUAUGUGUGCGGGUUGCGUGAUGAAUUUGCUGUGUUUUCUGUGCCCUUUGCCUCGCUGUGACAUCAUUGGUAUAUUACAACUUAUUGCUCGGUCUUUAUGGGCUACACGGUGCCUCGAAGAUCACCAUGAUCGCCUCCGACUCAGCCACAUCGAAGAAUCAAAAUGAGCCUGGAGACGCCACAGCCGGAAUGCAAAAGGUUGGAGAGGUGCUCAUUCAGAUGAUCCUGGCACAGCUUGCCAUGGUGGACCAGGCAAGUUUGCAAGGGCCUUGAUUCACCAUGUGUUCACUGAGGAGAACCUCAUGGGCCACUUACUUCUCGGAAACACCACCACCAAUAGGCAAAAAGAGGCUCUUGGCCUUAUCAGGGUCAACGCUGUUAUAGGCAAGUACCGUACAUCCUUUUACCCAUUGCAUUUUUGCCUUCACAUUUUGUACUUGGAAUUACCAGCUUGCUAUUAGCACAACAAAUGACUUUCAAGUAGCCUGUGUCUGCAACUACGUGCUACAAUAGCCUACUAUAU